GGUUCAGGAUGAACGCUAGCUACAGGCUUAACACAUGCAAGUCGAGGGGCAGCAUUGGAGUAGCAAUACUCAGAUGGCGACCGGCGCACGGGUGAGUAACACGUAUCCAACCUGCCGCUUACUCGGGGAUAGCCUUUCGAAAGAAAGAUUAAUACCCGAUGGUAUAAAGAGUUCGCAUGUUCUCUUUAUUAAAGAAUUUCGGUAAGCGAUGGGGAUGCGUUCCAUUAGAUAGUUGGCGGGGUAACGGCCCACCAAGUCUACGAUGGAUAGGGGUUCUGAGAGGAAGGUCCCCCACAUUGGAACUGAGACACGGUCCAAACUCCUACGGGAGGCAGCAGUGAGGAAUAUUGGUCAAUGGACGAGAGUCUGAACCAGCCAAAAGUAGCGUGAAGGAUGACUGCCCUAUGGGUUGUAAACUUCUUUUAUAAGGGAAUAAAGUGAGGGACGUGUCCCUUUUUGUAUGUACCUUAUGAAUAAGGAUCGGCUAACUCCGUGCCAGCCGCGGC
rnacentral:rRNA from 1 species